AUUGAACGCUGGCGGCAGGCCUAACACAUGCAAGUCGAGCGGGGUUUUCGGACCUAGCGGCGGACGGGUGAGUAAUGCGUAGGAAGCUACCCGAUAGAGGGGGAUACCAGUUGGAAACGACUGUUAAUACCGCACAAUGUCUACGGAACAAAGUGUGGGACCUUAGGGCCACAUGCUAUCGGAUGCGCCUACGUGGGAUUAGCUAGUUGGUGAGGUAAUGGAUCACCAAGGCGACGCUCCCUAGCUGGUUUGAGCGGAUGAUCAGCCACACUGGAACUGAGAGACGGUCCAGACUCUGACGGGAGGCAGCAGUGGGGAAUAUUGUACAAUGGGCGCAAGCCUUAUCCAGCCAUGCCGCGUGUAUGAAGAAGGCCUUCGGGUUGUAAAUCACUUUCAGUAGGGAGGAAGCGUUGUAUGUUAAUAGUACGCAGCGUUGACGUUACCUACAGAAGAAGCACCGGCUAACUCUGUGCCAGCCGCCGCCGUAAUCC
rnacentral:rRNA from 1 species